rnacentral:rRNA from 1 species
UACGUAGGGGGGCAAGCGUUGUCCGGAAUCAUUGGGCGUAAAGAGCGUGUAGGCGGCCCGAUAAGUCCGCUGUGAAAGUCCAGGGCUCAACCCUGGAAUGCCGGUGGAUACUGUCGGGCUCGAAUCCGGAAGAGGUGAGUGGAAUUCUUGGUGUAGCGGUGAAAUGCGCAGAUAUCAGGAGGAACACCAAUGGCGAAGGCAGCUCACUGGGACGGUAUUGACGCUGAGACGCGAAAGCGUGGGGAGCAAACAGG